AACGAACGCUGGCGGCAUGCCUAACACAUGCAAGUCGAACGGGACCUUCGGGUCUAGUGGCGCACGGGUGCGUAACGCGUGGGAAUCUGCCCUCUGGUACGGAAUAACUCAGGGAAACUUGAGCUAAUACCGUAUAAUGACUUCGGUCCAAAGAUUCAUCGCCUGAGGAUGAGCCCGCGUAGGAUUAGCUAGUUGGUGGGUAAAAGCCUACCAAGGCGACGAUCCUUAGCUGGCUGAGAGGAUGAUCAGCCACACUGGGACUGAGACACGGCCCAGACUCCUACGGGAGGCAGCAGUGGGGAAUAUUGGACAAUGGGCGAAAGCGUGAUGCAGCAACGCCGCGUGAGG
rnacentral:rRNA from 1 species